GAUUGGCUGCGUGGUUUUGUAACAGUUCGGGAUGGUAUUAAUAUAGGAAGGCGCAGAAAGCAGCGUUUACCUGCAACGGACAAGGUUAUUUAUCUAUAGACCUAUAGAUUGUAACAGGAAACAACCAACCAUGGUCUGACUGCUAAUAAAAGCUAGCAUCUACGUGGUGAGGAAGAUCCGGGCUUCCAACGCUGCAGGAGAGCAGCUGGAGAAGCCCAUCAUAACACCAUGUAGUGCUAUUGCUAAAAUGAGAACGGGACAUCAUGAGUCGAACGGAAACGCCCAUUCGGCUGCACUGAGCCCAGCACCUGAUGAAGGUGUCAGUGGAGCAGCAGGCUCGGGAACGUCCUCGGAGACAGCUGUGCAGAAAUGUGGUUCCUGACGUUAAAGAUCACGCUGGACACUGGGACUGUGGUCACUGCAAGGGAAAAAUAUAAUUUGUCAUCUUUGUAUUUUUGCUGCAGAACAGUAACACAUUAUCCUGGAUGAUUCUGUGUAUACAGAACCAUCUACAUGCAAAAGUCAACAAUAAUACAACAAACAGACCCUUAUGGACUACAAUACAAAGAAAUAACUAUAUUCCACUGCUUUCCAGUGUCCAUGCUGUACUCAGUGGCCAAUGUCCAGCUCCUAAUGACACACACGCCUUUUUCACAGCAGACAUUUUGACUUACCAUAGGAAAAAAACCUAACAACUUUAACGACUUUUUUCCAUUCAGGUUUGUUGGUGAGCUACACACAAUACUACAGGCACCUGAAUUUAUUGGAGACAUUUAUGUUAUUUAAUAUAUUUGGUUAGUCAACAUGUUCCUUGUGAGAAAGGCCUGUAUUUAUGUACUGCAGUGUUUGAAGGCCGACUCACCAACCUCUCUCCAGGGGCUGAGCAGGCCUGAUGUUUCUACUGCCGUUUCAAUAAAAAUAUAACAAAACA